CCUACGGGAGGCAGCAGUGGGGAAUAUUGCACAAUGGGGGGAACCCUGAUGCAGCGACGCCGCGUGGGUGAAGGAGUACUUCGGUACGUAAAGCCCUAUCAGCAGGAAAGAAAAUGACGGUACCUGACUAAGAAGCCCCGGCUAACUACGUGCCAGCAGCCGCGGUAAUACGUAGGGGGCAAGCGUUAUCCGGAUUUAUUGGGUUUAAAGGGUGCGCAGGCGGAGGUGCAAGUCAGCGGUCAAAUUGCGGGGCUCAACCCCGUACUGCCGUUGAAACUGCAUCCCUUGAGUGCGCGAGAAGUAUGCGGAAUGCGUGGUGUAGCGGUGAAAUGCAUAGAUAUCACGCAGAACUCCGAUUGCGAAGGCAGCAUACCGGCGCGCAACUGACGCUCAUGCACGAAAGCGUGGGUAUCGAACAGGAUUAGAUACCCGGGUAGUC
rnacentral:rRNA from 1 species